GAUGAAGAACGUAGCGAAAUGCGAUACUUGGUGUGAAUUGCAGAAUCCCGUGAACCAUCGAGUCUUUGAACGCAAGUUGCGCCCGAAGCCACUAGGCCGAGGGCACGCCUGCCUGGGCGUCACACGCCGUUGCCCCCCCAUCUACUCCUUCGGGAUUGCGGGGGGGCGGAUGAUGGCCUCCCGUGCGCCUAGCCGCGCGGUUGGCAUAAAUACCAAGUCCUCGGCGACGCACGCCACGACAAUCGGUGGUUGCGAAACCUCGGUUGCCUGUCGUGUGCGUUCGUCGCGCAUCGAGGGCUCGAAAAAAUGCUCGGCUCCGGCUGGGCUUUCAACGCGACCCCAGGUCAGGCGGGGUUACCCGCUGAAUUUAAGCAUAUCAAUAAGCGGAGGA
rnacentral:misc_RNA from 1 species